rnacentral:rRNA from 1 species
UACGAAGGGGGCUAGCGUUGCUCGGAAUCACUGGGCGUAAAGCGCACGUAGGCGGCUUUCUAAGUCAGGGGUGAAAUCCUGGAGCUCAACUCCAGAACUGCCUUUGAUACUGGCGACCUUGAGUCCGGGAGAGGUGAGUGGAACUGCGAGUGUAGAGGUGAAAUUCGUAGAUAUUCGCAAGAACACCAGUGGCGAAGGCGGCUCACUGGCCCGGUACUGACGCUGAGGUGCGAAAGCGUGGGGAGCAAACAGG